rnacentral:tRNA from 1 species
GCCUGGCUGGCUCAGUUGGUAGAGCAUGUGACGCUUGAUCUCAGGGUCAUGAGUUCAAGCCCCAUGCUGGGUA